rnacentral:rRNA from 1 species
AGUGAACGCUGGCGGCAGGCCUAAUACAUGCAAGUCGAACGGCAGCACAGUGGAGCUUGCUCCAUGGGUGGCGAGUGGCGGACGGGUGAGGAAUACAUGGGAAUCUGCCCAGUCGUGGGGGAUAACGUAGGGAAACUUACGCUAAUACCGCAUGCGCCCUUCGGGGGAAAGCCGGGGACCUUCGGGCCUGGCGCGAUUGGAUGAGCCCAUGUUCGAUUAGCUAGUUGGCGGGGUAAAGGCCCACCAAGGCGACGAUCGAUAGCUGGUCUGAGAGGAUGAUCAGCCACACUGGGACUGAGACACGGCCCAGACUCCUACGGGAGGUAGCAGUAGGGAAUAUUGGACAAUGGGCGCAGGCCUGAUCCAGCCAUGCCGCGUGAGUGAAGAAGGCCCUCGGGUUGUAAAGCUCUUUUGUCCGGGAAGAAAAGCAUCGGGCUAAUACCUCGGUGUUCUGACGGUACCGGAAGAAUAAGCACCGGCUAACUUCGUG